rnacentral:lncRNA from 1 species
GUUUUUCUGGUAUUGUCUGCCCGGCUGCUCCAAGCCAGACUGAUGAAAGAGGAGUCCCCUGUGGUGAGUUGGAGGUUGGAGCCUGAAGAUGGCACAGCUCUGUGAUUCAUCUCCUGCGGUUGUGGCGGCCACGGUGAUGGAGACUGCAGCUCAACAGGAGCGGUAGGAGGGUACCCGUGGAGGCCAAGUGGUAGGAGCCUUGGAGGGUGGAUCGGUGCAUGGAGAGUGACAGCAGCGCUGGUUCCGUUGGCGUCGGCGCUGAUGGUGGCGGCAGCAGCAAGUCUAGGGGCCAGGAAGGGAGAGUAGGAGAG